UAAAUUGAGAGUUUGAUCCUGGCUCAGGAUGAACGCUGGCGGCGUGCCUAAUACAUGCAAGUCGAACGAAACUUCUUUAUCACCGAGUGCUUGCACUCACCGAUAAAGAGUUGAGUGGCGAACGGGUGAGUAACACGUGGGCAACCUGCCCAAAAGAGGGGGAUAACACUUGGAAACAGGUGCUAAUACCGCAUAACCAUAGUUACCGCAUGGUAACUAUGUAAAAGGUGGCUAUGCUACCGCUUUUGGAUGGGCCCGCGGCGCAUUAGCUAGUUGGUGGGGUAAAGGCUUACCAAGGCAAUGAUGCGUAGCCGAACUGAGAGGUUGAUCGGCCACAUUGGGACUGAGACACGGCCCAAACUCCUACGGGAGGCAGCAGUAGGGAAUCUUCCACAAUGGGCGAAAGCCUGAUGGAGCAACGCCGCGUGGGUGAAGAAGGUCUUCGGAUCGUAAAACCCUGUUGUUAGAGAAGAAAGUGCGUGAGAGUAACUGUUCACGUUUCGACGGUAUCUAACCAGAAAGCCACGGCUAACUACGUGCCAGCAGCCGCGGUAAUACGUAGGUGGCAAGCGUUAUCCGGAUUUAUUGGGCGUAAAGGGAACGCAGGCGGUCUUUUAAGUCUGAUGUGAAAGCCUUCGGCUUAACCGGAGUAGUGCAUUGGAAACUGGGAGACUUGAGUGCAGAAGAGGAGAGUGGAACUCCAUGUGUAGCGGUGAAAUGCGUAGAUAUAUGGAAGAACACCAGUGGCGAAAGCGGCUCUCUGGUCUGUAACUGACGCUGAGGUUCGAAAGCGUGGGUAGCAAACAGGAUUAGAUACCCUGGUAGUCCACGCCGUAAACGAUGAAUGCUAAGUGUUGGAGGGUUUCCGCCUUUCAGUGCUGCAGCUAACGCAAUAAGCAUUCCGCCUGGGGAGUACGACCGCAAGGUUGAAACUCAAAGGAAUUGACGGGGGCCCGCACAAGCGGUGGAGCAUGUGGUUUAAUUCGAAGCAACGCGAAGAACCUUACCAGGUCUUGACAUCUUUUGACAAUCCUAGAGAUAGGACUUUCCCUUCGGGGACAAAAUGACAGGUGGUGCAUGGUUGUCGUCAGCUCGUGUCGUGAGAUGUUGGGUUAAGUCCCGCAACGAGCGCAACCCUUAUUGUUAGUUGCCAGCAUUAAGUUGGGCACUCUAGCAAGACUGCCGGUGACAAACCGGAGGAAGGUGGGGAUGACGUCAAAUCAUCAUGCCCCUUAUGACCUGGGCUACACACGUGCUACAAUGGACGGUACAACGAGUCGCAAGACCGCGAGGUUUAGCAAAUCUCUUAAAGCCGUUCUCAGUUCGGAUUGUAGGCUGCAACUCGCCUACAUGAAGUCGGAAUCGCUAGUAAUCGCGGAUCAGCAUGCCGCGGUGAAUACGUUCCCGGGCCUUGUACACACCGCCCGUCACACCAUGAGAGUUUGUAACACCCAAAGCCGGUGGGGUAACCUUUUGGAGCCAGCCGUCUAAGGUGGGACAGAUGAUUAGGGUGAAGUCGUAACAAGGUAGCCGUAGGAGAACCUGCGGCUGGAUCACCUCCUUUCUAAGGA
rnacentral:rRNA from 1 species